rnacentral:rRNA from 1 species
GGGGGAGUACGGCCGCAAGGCUAAAACUCAAAGGAAUUGACGGGGGCCCGCACAAGCGGCGGAGCAUGCGGAUUAAUUCGAUGCAACGCGAAGAACCUUACCAAGGCUUGACAUAUACCGGAAACGUUCAGAAAUGUUCGCCCCGCAAGGUCGGUAUACAGGUGGUGCAUGGUUGUCGUCAGCUCGUGUCGUGAGAUGUUGGGUUAAGUCCCGCAACGAGCGCAACCCUCGUCGUAUGUUGCCAGCACGUAAUGGUGGGAACUCAUAUGAGACUGCCGGGGUCAACUCGGAGGAAGGUGGGGAUGACGUCAAAUCAUCAUGCCCCUUAUGUCUUGGGCUUCACGCAUGCUACAAUGGCUGGUACAAUGGGCUGCAAUACCGCGAGGUGGAGCGAAUCCCAAAAAGCCAGUCUCAGUUCGGAUUGGGGUCUGCAACUCGACCCCAUGAAGUCGGAGUCGUCUAGUAAUCGCAGAUCAGCAACGCUGCGGUGAAUACGUUCCCGGGCCUUGUACACACCGCCCGUCAAGUCAUGAAAGUCGGUAACACCCGAAGCCGGUGGCCUAACCUUUUGGAGGGAGCCGUCNAAGGUGGGAUCGGUAAUUA